AAUUAGCCCAAAAAUGUCUAAAUUUUAAAUUUUGUUAUAAAUAAACCAUGUGAUGUCGUUCUUAUAAAAAAUAGCCAAAUGUUCCCAGACGGGGCGCCGGAAGACUGAAUUUGUAAAAAUAGCCACCUUUGGUCAUAUUUUGAGUUUUGACCCUCACGGCCUUAAGAUCUUCGUCUCCGAGGCGCUGAAAGGCCGUGUUUGCAAUACUCGGUAAUUUAUUUCAAUUUGAAAAACAAGAAAAGAAUUACAAAUAAGUCAGGUGAUGCCGUUUUUGUAAAAAAUAGCCAAAUAUUCCCAAACACGGUGUGGAAGACUAACUUUGCAUAAAC
rnacentral:lncRNA from 1 species